GACGAACGCUGGCGGCGUGCUUAACACAUGCAAGUCGAACGGAAAGGCCCUGCUUGCAGGGUACUCGAGUGGCGAACGGGUGAGUAACACGUGGGUGAUCUGCCCUGCACUUCGGGAUAAGCCUGGGAAACUGGGUCUAAUACCGGAUAGGAGCCAUUUUUAGUGUGAUGGUUGGAAAGUUUUUUCGGUGUAGGAUGAGCUCGCGGCCUAUCAGCUUGUUGGUGGGGUAAUGGCCUACCAAGGCGGCGACGGGUAGCCGGCCUGGGAGGGUGGACGGCCACAUUGGGACUGAGAUACGGCCCAGACUCCUACGGGAGGCAGCAGUGGGGAAUAUUGCACAAUGGGCGCAAGCCUGAUGCAGCGACGCCGCGUGGGGGAUGACGGCCUUCGGGUUGUAAACUCCUUUCGCUAGGGACGAAGCUUUUGUGACGGUACCUAGAGAAGAAGCACCGGCUAACUACGUG
rnacentral:rRNA from 1 species